rnacentral:lncRNA from 1 species
GUCCCAUUCUCUGACUUGAAGCUGCACUUUCUGCUUCUCUUGCAAGGUCUUCCAUAAAAUCUCUCUUGUUCUUUCUUGUUGCUGUUUUUACAUUCUUGUUGCAUUCUGUAUACUUUGUUCUAAGCUUUUCUUUAAUUCUCUCAGAAUGUGUUAGACAAAUUUUGUUGUUAACUUCUUUUCUUUCAUCUAUCAAUUUCCAAGUUUCAGGUGUUAUCCAUUCUUUGUGUACUUGUCUUUUGAAUCCUAGUACCUUUUUACUGGCUUGAGUGUAGAUUUCAUGUAUGUGCUGCCAUUCAUCAUUGACUGAUAUUGUGGUUGUGUCGUCAGUCGUGAGGUUUUCUAAUAGCUGAAACCUGUUCUUUAUUUCCAGUUUAAACUCUUGCUGGAUUUUUGGAUCUUGCAAUUUACCAACAUCAAAUUUCCUUUUCACAUUUACAUAAGUAGACAGCUUUUUAAGUUUUAGUUUGAUGUUUGCAAUUACUAGAUGGUGGUCACUAGCAACAUCU